rnacentral:rRNA from 2 species
GCCUGAUGCAGCGACGCCGCGUGAGGGAUGACGGCCUUCGGGUUGUAAACCUCUUUCAGCAGGGACGAAGCGCAAGUGACGGUACCUGUAGAAGAAGGACCGGCCAACUACGUGCCAGCAGCCGCGGUAAUACGUAGGGUCCGAGCGUUGUCCGGAAUUACUGGGCGUAAAGAGCUCGUAGGUGGUUUGUCGCGUUGUUCGUGAAAACUCACAGCUUAACUGUGGGCGUGCGGGCGAUACGGGCAGACUUGAGUACUGCAGGGGAGACUGGAAUUCCUGGUGUAGCGGUGGAAUGCGCAGAUAUCAGGAGGAACACCGGUGGCGAAGGCGGGUCUCUGGGCAGUAACUGACGCUGAGGAGCGAAAGCGUGGGGAGCGAACAGGAUUAGAUACCCUGGUAGUCCACGCCGUAAACGGUGGGUACUAGGUGUGGGUUUCCUUCCUUGGGAUCCGUGCCGUAGCUAACGCAUUAAGUACCCCGCCUGGGGAGUACGGCCGCAAGGCUAAAACUCAAAGAAAUUGACGGGGGCCCGCACAAGCGGCGGAGCAUGUGGAUUAAUUCGAUGCAACGCGAAGAACCUUACCUGGGUUUGACAUGCACAGGACGUGCCUAGAGAUAGGUAUUCCCUUGUGGCC